GAAGCACUAAGCUGUGUUUGGCAAGGUGUCUCAUGUGGCCUGGUGACUCCCACCUUCCUUCCAUUAUGACUAGUGCGAGAGCCACUGGUGACAAUCAGUUAUCCCAAAGAUUGCCCAAGGACUGCAGGAGUAGGUGAAGGUGACAACAGGAGCAAGAGUAGCUCCUCCUCCUCCCUCCUUGGUUCAUCAGCCCUGAGUUCCUGGAGUCCAUGAGAAGUACUUGUGACAUGAACAGGAGAGGGCAGCUGUUAGUGUGGUGCAACUGCCUUGAACCCUUGCCCAUACUGGUGGCCUGGGGACUCAGGCAGGCCCUGACCUUGAUAUGCCAUACAUCACUUCAGGAGGAAGAUGGCUGUUAGAAAAUCUGGCAAACAAUUAAAAACAAAACAAUAACAACAAAAAGAAAAAAGAAAAAGAAACAACUCAGUUUCUUCACUGCUUUGGAGGAGGUAAACUCUAGUGCCACAUGUCACCUGAAACUUCCUGGAAAAUGAAGUUGCUGCUCUAAUUACAGUUGGCAUUUGCAGCUCUCCAGGUGAAGGAAGUCAGCUUGCUAGAACAUUUUUUUUUUUUUGGCACUAGAAGCUCAGGAAAUUAGUAAGGAUGGACCAAAGGCAAAAUUGUACUUACCUAUUAAAGCCUGGCUCUGAAACUUCCCUCAGACUCUCAGGUAACUGACUUUCAUCAGCUGGUAG
rnacentral:lncRNA from 1 species